GGGUGACCUCAGAUCAGGUA
rnacentral:rRNA from 1 species